UAUCCUUCUUAAUAACCCGAUACAAUCAGUCACUGGCUGGCUGGCAACAACUCUUCCCCCUCAACCCCACACCACCAAAGACAUAAAGUAAUAAUAAAGGUGUUUGAGGCAGACAUGCCUUCAAUACAAUUAGUUUGGACUGACAUAAUCCUUUUUUAAAACGCUGAUUUUAAUAAAUUUGCAUACAUCAACCACACUCAAAAUAAUGUGGUAAUAAGUACAUAAUAGCGAGUUUUACCGCGAGUGUAGUAAUACAUCCCAUCACCAUCCGCGGUAGAAAAUUUACUACCAUUUCUAUUACCAACCUAGGUAAAAACUUCUACCAGAUUGGAAAUGAAUAUGGUAACCCUUUGUUACCAAAUUUUCUGCCAAGUUGUGGUAUAUUUCCACCAAACGGGUAAAAGUGAGAGCGUCUCUUCUCCUCCACCACCGCGGUAGUGCAUUAAUGCCAGCUUUCUCUUCCAUCACAUUUCCAGAAAAUUAAUUAAUUAAUUCAGAAAAUUAAUUAUGAAUAUCCGUGAUAAUUAAUAAGAGUGUCGAAUCCUUCAAGAGGGAAGAAAUUUGUAAGGUGUGAGGAAGAUGUAGAUUACAAUGGGUUUUAUAAAAUGGUCAAAGUUCUAAUUCGAUACUGACGAGUCCAUCGAUCUAGAAGAGGACGAAGGGGUGAAAUCGGCCGCAGUCUUCCCACUAUUUUUAGGUCAGUCAGUCAUCAAUCCCGAACAUUGUGUUUUAAAUCAAGGGAGAAGUUCCGUCCUAGAUUGGAUACAUGUAUCCGACUUCUUCACAGGCUGUUAUUUAUGAUAACAAAUCUCUAGCUUCAAAUUCAUGCUCCUCCCCCAUAGUAGCUCCGGUUGGCUACGAAGAAGUCGACAAUUAUUAUCAAAAUCCUGAACUGGAAAAUCUUGUGUCGGAGUAUAACAAAAAGAAAUUUGUGGAAGCAUCAGCUGGAUCAAUUGGUUCAAGAAUUUGUUGAGAAAGUGGUUCGACUUAAAGGGCAAGUGUUGAUUAAUUAAUUUUCUGUGCAAAUAUUUUGUUUAAAUCGGCUAAUCUUUUUUUUCUUUACAGAGAGGCACCAUCAACCAGGGAGAAAAAAUUAUUUGCAAAAGCUAUUGUUGACCUCGUCCCAGCAUGGUAUUAUCCUCAGACGAUCGACGGAAUUGCGAGAAAUUAUAUUUAGUCCUGCUUUAUAUAUUUUAUGUCUAAUUAUUAUUUUUGUUCCCCGUUAGUAUAUCAUAUAUUAUAAGGUCAACAGAUCAAAUAUAGUACGGCCCCUAUAAUUAUAGACGUAACUUUGUUGUGUUAUGAAUUUGGUCUAAUUUUCCCUGUUAAAUGUUUAAUUUAAUUUAAAAUGUCAAGUUGUAUGGUAAUUAUAUAAUUACGAUGUACUACUUUAAAAAGCCCGUAUAAUUA